AAAGGUUCUAUUUUUAUAAAUAAAACUAUUAUAAAAUCAUAAUUAUAAUUAUAAUGAUUAUAAUUAUGAUUUUUUUCAUAUAUAUGAUUCAUCUAGUUAUUCUGUAUAUAAAUUAUAUUCUGUAAAAGUACUAAAACAGUGCUAUCAAAAAGUUAAAAAUUUACGAGAUACUUUAAUCUGGCAUACUUUGACAUAAAUUGCUUUAUUUUCAAGAUAUUCCAUUGUUUCAUAAUAAAAUUUUUCCUAUCUCAGAAACCAAAUAUUUUAAACAGUUCAUAUAAACUUUUUUUAAUCUUUGAUCAAUGGAAAUAUAUUCUUGAAAUAUUUGACAUUUAUUUAUAUCCUGUUUACACAUACACACACACACACACACACACACACACACGCGCGCGCGCGCGCGCGCGUAUAUAUUAUGGCCAUUUUGAGUAAUUGGGAAUUAUACAUAAUGGUUAGUAAAUAUAAAUAAUUCUCAACUUAUUCGAUCAAUAUAAUUAAAUAGAAAAGAAUGAAUCAAAUUUCUCAGCCUUUUAUAUACAGGGUGUAUAAAAAAUCCCGGAUCCCUUGAUUAUUUCGAAAACUAAGCAUUUUUGAAAAAAAUAUUUCAGAUAAAAGUUGUAGGGUAUGAAGUGGUGAAUUUAUUAAUGAGACAAGUUUGACUUUCGAGAAUGUCAUCAAGGUCAGGCCAACAUUAAAUAAUCUUUUUUUUAAUAGAAUAUUUUAUUUUUGAACAGAAUCUAAUUGCUGUUAAGAGUUUUUCAAAACACUACAAUAAAGUUUAUUUUCCUUAAAUACUUUUCGAGUUAUUAGGCUUGAAUAUUAGUACUAACGUUACUAGCAUUAUCCAUAGUGUAUUGAGUGAAUGUUGCCAGAUCAGAUUUCUAGCUUUUGUGCACGAAUGCAUACGCGCGCGUGUUUCUCCUUCCUUCUCUCCCACCCUCUUCCUUUUCCACCAGUCUAGAGAUCUUUUCUGUUAAGCUCAUUUAAUCGCUACACGUCUUCUUGACCCCUGAGAGUGAAGUUUAAUGUAGUAAUGCUCACUAAGAUAGAGCAUAUCUCUUUUGAUGAUGCGAUGAUCGUAUAGAGUGUUCGUAAAAAAUCUUACGUACAAGUGACAGAACUUUCCAACCAAACUUUUAGAAAUGAGAACAAUGGUAUAUCUAAACCGACUGUUAUUCAUACUGUACAACGUUUUGAAGAAGCAGAUUCUAUCAAAGAUAUAGUUAGACAAGAUAAAGCUACUUUUGAGUUAAUCGGAAAUGUAAAUCGAUAUAAUUGUAGAUAUUGGAGCGAUGAAAAUCCUUGCACGAGGCACAUACUCAAAAUUCACAAAAAAUCAAUGUAUAAGCCAGGAAUUUUAAAUGAUCGGAUUGUUAAGCCGCUUUAUUGAGGGAAACAGCGGAGAAUUACUUAACCAUACCUCAAAAUGAAAUAGUACCGGCAAUACGCAACAUCGCUCGUCAAAACUUCAAUGUUUGUGAUAUAUGGUAUCAGCAAGAUCGGGCGUCACCUCACUACGGUUUACAAGUACGCCAAUAUUGAAUGAAGUUUCUCCAAAUAGGUGGAUGGGAAAGAGUUACAUUAAAUAGCCAACACGCCACUGGUACAAACCAACUCAACUAUUUUUUGUGGGGAUAUUUAAAGGAUAGAAUUAACAAUACAAAACCUCAAAAUCUUGGUGAUUUGCGUUAACGAAUAACAGAUGAAAUUAAAGCAAUACCUAAUAAAAUUUGUAAAAAUGUAGUCUUAAGUUUCCCUAAUCGUCUAGCAUAUUGUCAGACUAUACAAAGACAUCAAUUUGAGAAUUUGCUAUAAUCGUCAUUCUUUUAAAGCAGAAAUUGUAAUGUUUGCAGCACGCGUAGACGUCUCGCGCAUGCAGUAAAAUCAGAUAGAGCCGAGCGCGGGCGGUACUAAUUUUCAAGCCUCAUAAUCUAGAAAGUAUUUAAGGAAAAUAAACUUUGUUAGUGUUUUGAAAAGCUCUUGACAUAAACGAUUAGAUUCUAAAAUCAAAAAUAAAAUAUUCCAUUUAAAAAAACCAUUUGAUCCUGACCUGACCUUGGCAACAUCGCCAAAAGUCAAACUGGUAUCAUCAAUAAAUAGAUUUUAUGCCCUACAACUUUUAUUUGAAACAUUUUCUAAACCAUUAUCUAAAACAACUGUCAAAGACAGACAGAUUUUGUAUAUAUCUUUGAUUAAUAUAAGCACUGAUAUCAAUAAGAUUUCACUGAUUUAGAGAAUAUAACUUGACAAACAUGUUUGAUAUUUAAAUCUAGAAUGUGAAAGUAUACGGUUAUAUCAGAUUCUUUAUCAUUCGUUAAUCACGUAGUAGAACUCACAAUAAAAUACGCAAUAACAUCAGAAGUCGUAGUAAAACAUUCGUGAAAAGCAUCAUUAUUUUAUUUUUUAAGACCUUGACCUCUAAUGUGUUACAUUUUGAAAAUGUACAUUUAAUCACUUUGUAAGAUAAAUAAUUUUAAAGUGAACUAAAUUUUAAUCUUUUUUUUUUUUUGCUCUAAAUCUAAGAAUUUCGAAAGUAAUUUUUCAUGUUUUCGAUGUUUCCCCAAGAUAAGCAAUAUAUCACUUGAUUUCGUUUAAGUAACUCUUUAAUAUGACAUAUAAUUUAUAAAUAAUAAUUGACAGCUAGAACUCCUUAUAAAUAAUAAAAUGAGAAAAAAGAGAUAACUUAGAGC